rnacentral:rRNA from 1 species
AGAGUUUGAUCAUGGCUCAGAAUCAACGCUGGCGGCGUGCCUAACACAUGCAAGUCGAACGCGAAAGUGGAGCAAUCCAUGAGUAGAGUGGCAAACGGGUGAGUAACACGUGGGUGACCUGCCUUCGAGCGGGGGAUAACGUCCCGAAAGGGACGCUAAUACCGCAUAACAUCCUGCCUUUUAAGAGGUGGCGAUCAAAGCCGGGGAUUCGCAAGAACCUGGCACUUGAAGAGGGGCCCGCGCCUGAUUAGCUAGUUGGUGGGGUAAUGGCUCACCAAGGCAACGAUCAGUAUCCGGCCUGAGAGGGCGGACGGACACACUGGGACUGAGACACGGCCCAGACUCCUACGGGAGGCAGCAGUGGGGAAUUGUUCGCAAUGGGCGCAAGCCUGACGACGCAACGCCGCGUGGAGGAUGAAGACCUUCGGGUCGUAAACUCCUUUCGAUCGAGACGAAUGGUUUCCGGGUGAACAAUCCGGAAAAGUGACGGUACCGAGAGAAGAAGCCCCGGCUAACUCCGUGCCAGCAGCCGCGGUAAUACGGGGGGGGCAAGCGUUGUUCGGAAUUACUGGGCGUAAAGGGCUCGUAGGUGGCCAACUAAGUCAGACGUGAAAUCCCUCAGCUUAACUGGGGAACUGCGUCUGAUACUGGAUGGCUUGAGUUUGGGAGAGGGAUGCGGAAUUCCAGGUGUAGCGGUGAAAUGCGUAGAUAUCUGGAGGAACACCGGUGGCGAAGGCGGCAUCCUGGACCAACACUGACACUGAGGAGCGAAAGCCAGGGGAGCAAACGGGAUUAGAUACCCCCGUAGUCC